rnacentral:snoRNA from 1 species
CCUGCCCCUAGAGUCGUACAGAUGAGACUGCUGUGUCACAUGUGUGUCAAUAGUGGCAGAGAGAGAGGCUUGUCUACGUCCAGUGCUCUGACCUGUGAGCCACUGGGUGAUUGAUAGUCUGACACU